GGAGGUAUGGGGUUAUGUACUGAUUGAAGAAAAUUAAAUGUAUGGGGAAGAAAAAAAAAAUAAAGAAACAAAAUUAGUUGAGUUAGAUUAAAAAAAAAGAAGAGAAAAUUGAAAAUUAACAGCAAUACAUGGAAGCAAUGUAUUUUCUCGUUACAUCUUUUUUUCCAACAAAGAAAUAAAAGGAAAAAACACAGAAGCGGUUUCAAACUUCAAAGUUGUGAGGACAAUUUUUCCGGUCAUAUGAUCAGAGUGGUGAUAGCAGCGAUGAAGAAGGUGGUCGGACAAUUAGAUUAAGCUUAAUAUUUAAAAUUAAAUAUUAUUUAGUUUAUAAUUACGUUUUUAAUUAUUUUUUUGACUAAUUUUCCACGUGUUCGUUUUUAAUUGAUUGUUUUGCCACGUCAGCGCGAGUGUAUGAACAUAUAUGAUAUUGUAUAAAUAGUAUAUAAAUGUGAAUUAAUGCA
rnacentral:lncRNA from 1 species